UUCAUUUAAAUUCUUAACUUCUCUUAAAUUUAUUUGAUAAUUUUAUCAUAUCUAGAAUUCAUAUAAUAAUAUAUAACAUUAUUAUAUAUCUAUAUUAUGUAUAUCUAUAAUUUCAUAAUAUUAUCAACCGUCUUAUAUAUAUCUUGGAAAUUUCUUCAAAUAUUAACUCUUUUAUUUACAUACAAAUUCAUCACAAUUGAAUAUUCUAUAAUUAUUUCCUUCAUGCAUUCUUCAUUCAAAGAAUAAACGAAACGCAAAACGCUAACUGAAAGACAAAGAAUUUGGCCGAAAUUAAUGGACACGUGUUAUUUUUAUGAAUACCUGGGAAUCCAAAAUCAACAUAAAGACCUCUACAUAAAUAGAUGCAUGUAUGGUCAACAACCUUAGGGGCAAGAACAGCCAUUCUCAUAAACAUUCCACUUCCCUCUUUCUUUUUUUAUUCGAUAUAAUCCUAAUGAAAAAAUAAACCUAUACUAUAGAUAUAAUAAUAAUAAUUAUAAUUGUGGUUAUUAACAUUUGAUUAUUAACAAAUUCCUAGAAGAAGAGAAAUAAAAAUAUAAAAAAUACAAUGAAUAAUAAAAGAAUAAGUAUCGCGAUAUUCCUCGUGAUAAAGGUGUUAUGUCAAUGAAUGGUUAAUCUAAUUCUUUCUGAUGGUUACGAAUAGAUUUCUUCUAUAAAGACUUUGAAACAUGGUCUUCUUGCUUGAAAUUUCGAGGAUUAUUAAUUUUGAGAAUUAAUUCGAUGACCAGGCGAAUACGGUUUCUCCAUACAGCAUUAUUCAUUGUGAACAGGAAAUGCAAAUUUUUCUCUGGCCCGGUUCUGCCCCCUCGCCUCAGGACACUGCCCUUUGACCCUUUCCAAGUCCCCUUUGCUUUCAUAUAUUUCUGUUUAUCUUAUUUUUCCAAUAUGCAUUGGCCUUUUUUUCUUCUUCUCUUUUAGAUAGGUCUUUCAAAUAAUUGAUAAACUUUCGAUGGUGUUUUUCUGAUUUGAGUUAAAUACUUGCAUCUAAAUGUUUCUUAUAUUUUAUUUUCUCUAAAAAAUGUUAUUUUUAUUUUCAUUACAUACAAUUAUUAAAAAUAAAGUCUUUAAUUAUGGAAUAUGAUAAUAGGGAUAUUUAGGGACAAUAAGGAUAUUUUUAAAAAAUUAUAGCUUUUGUUAUUCAAUAAUAUAAAAGAACGAAAAUUUUUUUACUUAUUUUCAUUAUAUUCAUUAUAUAUUCAUAUUGCAUAAUCAAUAGAUAGAUCAGGAAUGAAGUAUAAUGAAUCUUCAAUUAAAAAUUGAUAUAAUCAUUUCUAACUGAUCUUCAAAAAACUUAAGUUGUUAUCUUGAGUAAAAUUUGUAAUACAUCUAUAAAUAAAGUAUCAAGAAUACAAAAUUCUUAAAUAACAAUUUCACUUGUAUAAAGCCUGAAGAUUUGAUAAACCGAUAAAUGAAAUUGCAGAUUUGACAAAUUAACAUGGUCAAAAUUUAAUUUGCAAUUCACUUAACAAUUCCAUUGGUUGACCAACAGAGGAAAAGCUACGCAUCCCGUGUCCAAGUGUCGCGGAUCCCCUCUUCAUUCGGAGGAUCGCACCACGUGUUUCUUUCUCUCGGAAUCCUCCCUUCUCCGCAACUGUAAAUCAAGUUCACUGUUCAGUAGUGUUCAGUUCAGUCGCCCUCGGGAUAUCGUACCAGUUGGUGGUUGUAUUAUGGUUAUAUCUUCAUUAAUUUUGCAUAUUUCUAAUUUAACAGAAUUGAUUCAAACUGUUUUAAAUCAUUUUAAACCGAAGAGUGUAGUGUUAUAAUAAUUUCGAUCUUUUCUAGUUUUAUUUACAUUCUUUUAUUUUGUUUAUUCAUCUUUUUUCAAAAAAGAAAAAGAAAUGAUUCGAUAUUUUUAAUCAAAUGGAUUCAUUGAAUAAGAUAUAUAUAUAUAUAUAUAUAUACAUCGCUUAAUAUAGUAGUGUACAGAGGCUGAUUCUAACCUUCCUGUGAUACCAUGGAUAUCACGCUGGGCGGAAACGAAUAUCUUUUUGUGGGCUAUGCAUGUUUGGUUAGAGAAUGGAACGAUUCAAAGGAUACUAGAAUGUAAAAAUAGGUGAUGGCAUAUAGUAUAGAAUAAAGUGGACAGAUAUUGAUUAUUGAUUUCUAAUCAUUUUAAUCAAAUUUAAUGACUGUCUACAGAAUCACUCAGACCCCUGUAGCAACAAGGAUAAGAAAGGUAUGAGAUAAUUAUAUAGGGACGUGUUUGAUAGAAGUUUUGAACAAAUAUAUUUUGUUCCUGAUUUUAUUUUGUCCUGAUGAAAACGAUGGUUCCAUUAUUGAUUUUCGUAUAGUUUUCUCUUUUUUUUGGAUGAUAUUGGAACCACGAAUAAAUGAAAUCAUCAGCACAAAAGUUGGGUAUUAUUAGGCCAGUUUCUCAAUAUAAUUUCACACAUUCCGUAUUACACGCAUUGAACACGUUUAAAUGGUAAUAUUCGUACAAUUAUUAUUUAGCUUAUCCAUACAACAUGUACAUAAUCAUAAUUUUCUACUAUAUCACUAUAAUAUAUUUUAUUAUAUAGUAUGUAUACGUGUCUCUUUAUUAAUGCACAGAGUAAACGGGAAAUAAUAAGAAACGCUUAAUUAGGUUAUGUUACGAACCGCAUGUUUUUUUCCUUUAAAAAAAUUUUAUAAAUGAAAAAUUAUAUUCGAUAAUUAUAUGAUUGGUUUCAAUAUAAUGAAUCAUCUUACUGAAUAGAUAAUAUUACUUCCGGUUCACUCUGCAACUUGUAUAUCAUUUAUUUAUUUUAAAUGCUAGAAUCAAAUUUCUCGCUAAAAUGAGAUCGAUUUAUUACAAUAAAAUGUCGAUCAUAGAAUGUGUCUUUUGAAGACAUUUUUUUUCUUUUAAAUAUUCAUUUCUAAAGAAGAAAGAGAAAAAUACGAUGAAUAUAUUAUUGGGAAUGUCGCAGGCAUUUUCAACCGAGAAUUUAUUCUCUGUCUCCCCAAUUUCAUCGCUCUGAUGUCAACUGUAAAAAUCUUUAUAAAUAAAUAAAAUUUUAUAAUUUUUUCAAA